GACGAACGCUGGCGGCGUGCCUAAUACAUGCAAGUAGAACGCUGAAGGAGGAGCUUGCUCUUCUGGAUGAGUUGCGAACGGGUGAGUAACGCGUAGGUAACCUGCCUGGUAGCGGGGGAUAACUAUUGGAAACGAUAGCUAAUACCGCAUAACAGUAGAUGUUGCAUGACAUUUGCUUAAAAGGUGCAAUUGCACCACUACCAGAUGGACCUGCGUUGUCUUAGCUAGUUGGUGGGGUAACGGCUCACCAAGGCGACGAUACAUAGCCGACCUGAGAGGGUGAUCGGCCACACUGGGACUGAGACACGGCCCAGACUCCUACGGGAGGCAGCAGUAGGGAAUCUUCGGCAAUGGACGGAAGUCUGACCGAGCAACGCCGCGUGAGUGAAGAAGGUUUUCGGAUCGUAAAGCUCUGUUGUAAGAGAAGAACGAGUGUGAGAGUGGAAAGUUCACACUGUGACGGUAUCUUACCAGAAAGGGACGGCUAACUACGUG
rnacentral:rRNA from 1 species